rnacentral:rRNA from 1 species
GACGAACGCUGGCGGCGUGCUUAACACAUGCAAGUCGAACGGAAAGGCCUCUUUCGGGGGGUACUCGAGUGGCGAACGGGUGAGUAACACGUGAGUAACCUGCCCUUGACUUUGGGAUAACUUCAGGAAACUGGGGCUAAUACCGGAUAGGAGCUCCUGCUGCAUGGUGGGGGUUGGAAAGUUUCGGCGGUUGGGGAUGGACUCGCGGCUUAUCAGCUUGUUGGUGGGGUAGUGGCUUACCAAGGCUUUGACGGGUAGCCGGCCUGAGAGGGUGACCGGCCACAUUGGGACUGAGAUACGGCCCAGAUUCCUACGGGAGGCAGCAGUGGGGAAUAUUGCACAAUGGGUGGAAGCCUGAUGCAGCAACGCCGUGUGCGGGAUGACGGCCUUCGGGUUGUAAACCGCUUUCGCUCAUGACGAAGCUUUGUGUGACGGUAGUGGGUAAAGAAGCACCGGCUAACUACGUG